AGGCUCCUCUGGGCUUGCAGGAUUCACUUUCAUUUCACGCUAUCUGACUUCCGUGAUUAUCUGAUUUUUUCCAGGAAGGAAUUUUAAAUCUCCAGCCGGAGGAGCUGUCCCAUCCCACCAACCCGGAUGCACCUGGAGCCCCGCGGGAGACUUGGGAAAACUGUCCCUCCCCAGCGGUGAGCCUGACCCUAAAGGGCUCUGUAACCACAGCCUAACAGGCUGAGAACUGGACCAGGAACAAGCAGAGUGGCUUCCUUCUGCUGCAUGGGCUGGCCCAGGUCAAGCCUGACCCAAGAAGACUCAAGAGGAGACAGCUCUUGGAUGGGUCCUAUGCUGAACCAAGAGGGAGAGGUAGUUGGGGUGGAAGGCUCUAGAACUUUAGUGUCAGGGGUAUAGCCCUGUAGUGUGGGGGUAACCCCACAAGACCCCAGUAUACCUGAUAUUGUCUGGUUCCAAGAAGUCCAUGACUACUGACCGGCACCUCUGGAAACCUGUGACAGGCCUUUUCCUGGGUGGCUCUCCCAAGGGUCUUUCUAGGGACACUUUUCCUAUAUGAUCUGGAUUUGGUGCCACGAGGCCCUGACUUUCGGCCAGCUUUCAGGGAGGGAGCCUGGUCCCAUGGCUGCACUGUCCUCCUGUAAGGAACAUGGUAAAACAAUGCCUUUUAGACCUGUGCAAACAGCUCAGUCAGGAUCCCCACCACACCCAAGGUGGCUGACAACCUGAGAACCAGAACCCAGGAACAUCACUCACUCGGGAUAACCAGACACAGACCCCAUGAUGCCAACUGUGCUCUGCUCUGCACAUCUGGAGAGAUGACACCUUGAUCUGCCCUGUGGCUGGAAAGUCUCCCCCAGGAUCCUGACCCUUGAAUCAGAGACUUCUGUCAGAAACUUCUGACCUGAUCUUCAGCUAAGUUAUGACACACGGGUGAGCAGCCCUGAGGAGAUAGGCUUAGGACCAUACUUAGAAAUUCUAGUGUGGACCUUGUGUGAUGAUCAUCAGCAUAAUAAAACAUAACUUUUUUUGUA